UACGGAGGGUGCGAGCGUUGUCCGGAUUUAUUGGGCGUAAAGAGCGUGUAGGCGGCCGCACAGGUCCGUUGUGAAAACUGGAGGCUUAACCUUCAGACGUCGAUGGAAACCGUGCGGCUAGAGUCCGGAAGAGGAGAGUGGAAUUCCUGGUGUAGCGGUGAAAUGCGCAGAUAUCAGGAAGAACACCGAUGGCGAAGGCAGGUCUCUGGGCACUUACUGACGCUGAGGAGCGAAAGCGUGGGGAGCGAACAGG
rnacentral:rRNA from 1 species